UACGUAGGGUGCGAGCGUUGUCCGGAAUUAUUGGGCGUAAAGGGCUCGUAGGCGGUUUGUCGCGUCGGGAGUGAAAACCCAGGGCUUAACUCUGGGCUUGCUUUCGAUACGGGCAGACUAGAGGUAUGCAGGGGAGAACGGAAUUCCUGGUGUAGCGGUGAAAUGCGCAGAUAUCAGGAGGAACACCGGUGGCGAAGGCGGUUCUCUGGGCAUUACCUGACGCUGAGGAGCGAAAGUGUGGGGAGCGAACAGGA
rnacentral:rRNA from 1 species